UGAUCAUAACUAUGGAUCAGAUACAUAAAGAUGUUGUAUCUUUGCCCUAGGACUUCCUCUGCCAAGAAUUGAACAUAACUCAAUGGACUGAACUGAAAUCAACUCCAAGAUCCUUCUGUGUGUGUAUCUGGUGCCUGGUCUGCACUAAUGUCAAAACUAGGACUGCCAACUGGACUUCCCAUAUGUAGCCAUUCCAUGCAACGUGGAUCCCUCAAAAUAUGAUGAACACUGAAAUAUGUAAAAAGCAAAGCACAUGGUAUAGAGAACCUUCAUGACAUGUGCUCUACUGCCAAGUUACAUCCGUGUACCCAGUUCUUUCUUCUUUGGUUAUAUGUCAUG